rnacentral:piRNA from 1 species
UCCUGCAUACUCUGUUGGUGGAGUCU